CCCUGGGGGGUCCAGUGGCUAAGACUCUGCGCUCCCAAAGCAGGGGGCCCAGGUUUGAUCCCUGGUCGGGGAA
rnacentral:tRNA from 1 species